CUCUCUCUCUCAUUUUCUCUCACUUCGCCGCUUGAUCAACAAUCGUCGUCUUCGAUUCUUUCCUCUUCCUCGCUCGCACGGCGUCGCAGGAACCCGUCGCCACCGGCCCACCAUCAUCGACCGUCAGUCACUCCGUCUUUGUCUCAAACUCUCCCUCUUCCUUAGUUAGUUCCUUGCACCGUGCCACUCUUUUUUCAUCCGCACACGGUGUCACGGGAAACCGUCGCCACCAGCCCGCCAUCUUGGCCCCCCUCGUUCUCUCCGAUUCUCUCUGAUCUUUUGUUUGUCAAGUGCGUUUAGAAAUCGAUAGUCAGCUCCAAGUUUCGAGGGAAAUCUAUUCGUCCAUGGUCAUAACUGGCAUCGCUUGUCCAAGCCCAGCCACCCCUUCCGUCCUUUAAGUCGUUGCCAGCUAUAAAUUUGGAAGUUCAUAGACUCCACAUUUGGACUAGCGGAGUCGCCGAUGAAGCCGUCCAGGCUCGUGUGUCCAAGCCGAGCCCUCACCAUCGUCGCUUGUGACCAUGGACAUCACGCCAUUUGGAAGUUCGAAGGCCAGAUCAAGAGGCACAACUCCAAAGCUGGACCAGUGACUCGUCCAAGCUAAGCCACUCCUCCAUCGUCCAGGCUCACCAGAUCUGUGGACUAGCCACCUCGCGAGCCAUGGACGAGGCUAGAUUUGGACGAGCAAUGAGUAGGAUGACCAUGAGCGUCAUCGGAAGGAGUGGCUUGGUUUGGAAGCACGAGAGGUGCUUCGCCGAUGGCGAUGGUGGGGGGAGCCACCGGUUCCAUUUGCCUACCCGAGAACUAGACCGUACUAACCGAAAACCGAUCACUUUUAGCUUGUAUCUCUCAUAAAAAUAAAUGAUCGAAAAAUAUUUCUAUCAUCCA